GUGCGUAACACGUAUGCAACCUACCUAUCAUUGGGGGAUAGCCUUUGGAAACGGAGAUUAAUACCGCAUAAGACAGUAACAUGGCAUCAUGUAGCUGUUAAAGCUUUGGCGAUGAUAGAUGGGCAUGCGUCCAAUUAGUUAGUUGGUGAGGUAACGGCUCACCAAGACGAUGAUUGGUAGGGGAUCUGAGAGGAUAAUCCCCCACACUGGCACUGAGAUACGGGCCAGACUCCUACGGGAGGCAGCAGUAGGGAAUAUUGGGCAAUGGACGGAAGUCUGACCCAGCCAUGCCGCGUGCAGGAAGAAGGCGUUAUGCGUUGUAAACUGCUUUUUUAUAGGAAGAAGGAGACCUUGCGAGGUUUGGUGACGGUACUAUAAGAAUAAGCACCGGCUAACUCCGUGCCAGCAGCCGCGGUAAUACGGAGGGUGCGAGCGUUGUCCGGAUUUAUUGGGUUUAAAGGGUGCGUAGGCGGUUUAUUAAGUCAGUGGUGAAAGACGGUCGCUCAACGAUUGCAGUGCCAUUGAUACUGGUAGACUUGAGUUCGUAUGAG
rnacentral:rRNA from 1 species